GUUGAACGCUGGCGGCAUGCCUUACACAUGCAAGUCGAACGGUAACGGGCCUUCGGGUGCCGACGAGUGGCGAACGGGUGAGUAAUGUAUCGGAACGUACCUUUCAGUGGGGGAUGACGUAGCGAAAGUUACGCUAAUACCGCAUAUUCUGUGAGCAGGAAAGCAGGGGAUCGCAAGACCUUGCGCUGAUUGAGCGGCCGAUAUCAGAUUAGCUAGUUGGUGAGGUAAAGGCUCACCAAGGCGACGAUCUGUAGCGGGUCUGAGAGGAUGAUCCGCCACACUGGAACUGAGACACGGUCCAGACUCCUACGGGAGGCAGCAGUGGGGAAUUUUGGACAAUGGGGGCAACCCUGAUCCAGCCAUGCCGCGUGAGUGAAGAAGGCCUUCGGGUUGUAAAGCUCUUUCGGCCGGGAAGAAAUCGUAUCAGCUAAUACCUGGUGCGGAUGACGGUACCGGCAUAAGAAGCACCGGCUAACUACGUGCCAGCCGCCGCGGUAACAC
rnacentral:rRNA from 1 species